rnacentral:rRNA from 1 species
UACGAAGGGGGCUAGCGUUGCUCGGAAUCACUGGGCGUAAAGGGCGCGUAGGUGGCCUUUUGAGUCAGACGUGAAAUCCCCCGGCUUAACCCGGGAACUGCGUCCGAUACUGGCAGGCUUGAAUCCGGGAGAGGGAUGCGGAAUUCCGAAGGUGUAGCGGUGAAAUGCGUAGAUAUCUGGAGGAACACCGGUGGCGAAGGCGGCAUCCUGGACCGGCAUUGACGCUGAGGCGCGAAAGCCAGGGGAGCAAAGCGGG